CACCCCUGCUUUUUCGAAAAAAUAAAUUUCAACCAUCAAGAAGGGGAGCAGUGUCAUUUCUCUUCUUAUAAAUGUAUGGAAAGUAGAAAUUAUUCGACUAAGUUGAGACAUAUAAGCCAUACAAAUUCAACAAUUCAUGGGUAUACGAAACGAUCACAGUAAAAAGCAAACAAAGAACAGACAUAAGAAAAAGAUAAUCACCUCACAUUCUUUAAAAAACAAAACAAAAAAAAUAAAACAAACAAAAUAUUCCAUGAUUACUCUGAGUCAUUCAUAGAUCUUCGAACCCGGCGAAGGACUUGAAACAUUCUUUUACCCAAAAAAGCUGUUAGGAAUUUGACAAAUCAAGUUAAAAAAUAAAAAUAACCUACUUAAAAUUAUGAUAUUUUGCUUGUUUGUUUUUUUUUUAUUGUUUGUUAUUUAGCUCUCUUCCCGAUCGACAUUCUAGAGAGAGAUCAAUAACAUUUCUAAUUCGAACUGCGUAUAAUUAUUAUGAGAAAGCGACGACAGCGUGCACUAACCUUAAACGAGAUUGCGAGAUGAUAAGAAAUCAAUUUCACUUGAAAAUUGAUAACAAACAAAGUGGACAAAAAAACGAAUCUCAUAAUAAGCAACUUUCUGAAGCUAAAUUAACACAACAACAUUUUGCAAACAAAACAAAGAAAUGCCAGGAGUGACUUUGCAAAAUUAGUUUACUUAUUUUGGACCAACUUGGAGGAGCACGCUGCACAGCUCCACGACAGAGCAACCAGCAAAUAAUAACCACCACGCAUUUAUUUGCUAUCCACAAGAAACAAAAAAAAAAGAAAUUCCAAGAAUACACUUUUUCCACCACCGACGACGGACUACGAAGACGGAAGAACGAAAAAACAGACGACGACUGUUUUUUUUUUUAUUUUGCUUGGAGGACGGAGGAGUCUCAAAACGCACAUGAAAAUUAAAGUUUUUAAAAAAAGAUUUCGAUUAAACU